rnacentral:rRNA from 1 species
GAUGAACGCUGGCGGCGUGCUUAACACAUGCAAGUCGAACGGAAAGGCCCAAGCUUGCUUGGGUACUCGAGUGGCGAACGGGUGAGUAACACGUGGGUGAUCUGCCCUGCACUUCGGGAUAAGCCUGGGAAACUGGGUCUAAUACCGGAUAGGACCACAUUUUGGAUGGUGUGGUGGAAAGUUUUUCGGUGUGGGAUGAGCUCGCGGCCUAUCAGCUUGUUGGUGGGGUAAUGGCCUACCAAGGCGUCGACGGGUAGCCGGCCUGAGAGGGUGUACGGCCACAUUGGGACUGAGAUACGGCCCAGACUCCUACGGGAGGCAGCAGUGGGGAAUAUUGCACAAUGGGCGCAAGCCUGAUGCAGCGACGCCGCGUGGGGGAUGACGGCCUUCGGGUUGUAAACUCCUUUCGCUAGGGACGAGGCGUUAUGUGACGGUACCUGGAGAAGAAGCACCGGCUAACUACGUG